AGCUGAAUACCAGGGCAGACCGCUCCUCUCAGGGCCUUGGGUAAAGCAGACCUGGGAAGGAAAGCCAGGCCCUGCAGGUAGGGGAGCUCCCCGGAGGGUCCUAGUGUCUUUUCCCACUGCUGUCUCCUCCCUCCUACACCCCCACUUCAAUAAAGCCAAGAGUCACAAUUGUUGCUUUACAAUUCCAUUUUCUAAAAAAAAAAUAUGAUUUAGAAAAUACCCAGCUAUUAUGGAAGAAAUGACACAGUCAUUGUAAUCAGAUUGGGGGACUCAGGGUGUGAGCGGGUUUGUAGAGUGACUUUCCAGCCUUCUGCUGGGGCCAGGGGAAGUACACACCCACAGCUGCAUGAAAGAUGGGGAGGCUCUGGAGAUCCAUGUGCUUCUCACAUGGCCUUUCGACCAAUCCUCUGGCCUUUACUCCCAUUUCUAGAGGUUCCUGGGAUUACUGCCCAUUCCUGAGCCUUGGGGCAUUCUUCAGGGUCAACUGGGGUUGCUUCUAGGUCUUCCCCGGUCAUGAUCUAUUAUUCAACGUUAUCAGGUUUGCAAGGAAGUUACACCUUCUCCAUUUGUCUUCUAGAGUCUUCAAUUACAUUGCUGUGGUUGCUUUUCUGUUUUCUGUACUAUCUAGUUUAAUGAGGCUUUGAUUCAAUGCAUAUACUACACUGUGCAACAUUUAACCAGAGUUCAACCCUGGAUUUGAAUGUGUCCUCUGUUAUGGCCCAGUCAUGUGACUUUGGGACAUCUUGAAGAGGAAAAAUUGUAUUAAGUUUCCAUUUCUUUGAUUAUUAGUGAAGUUGGAUACUUAUCUAGAAAUUCAUUAUUCAUCUUUAUUUUCUUUUGCUUGUGAUCAUUGCCUACCUUUCUCCUGCAGUUCUAGUCUUUAAAAAUUUAUUCAUAAGCAAUUUUCUAUGUCAAGAAUAUCUACCUAUUAACUAUUAUGUUUACUGCAAAUAUUUCCCCCAAUAGCUUACUUGGCUUUGAUUUGUUCUGUUGUGUCUAUGGGGUUUUGUUCCGAAUU
rnacentral:lncRNA from 1 species